AACGAACGCUGGCGGCAGGCUUAACACAUGCAAGUCGAACGCCCCGCAAGGGGAGUGGCAGCCGGGUGAGUAACGCGUGGGAACAUACCCUUUUCUACGGAAUAGCUCUGGGAAACUGGAAUUAAUACCGUAUACGCCCUACGGGGGAAAGAUUUAUCGGGGAAGGAUUGGCCCGCGUUGGAUUAGCUAGUUGGUGGGGUAAAGGCCUACCAAGGCGACGAUCCAUAGCUGGUCUGAGAGGAUGAUCAGCCACAUUGGGACUGAGACACGGCCCAAACUCCGACGAGAGGCAGCAGUGGGGAAUAUUGGACAAUGGGCGCAAGCCUGAUCCAGCCAUGCCGCGUGAGUGAUGAAGGCAUUAGGGUUGUAAAGCUCUUUCACCGAUGAAGAUAAUGACGGUAGUCGGAGAAGAAGCCCCGGCUAACUUCGUG
rnacentral:rRNA from 1 species